rnacentral:rRNA from 1 species
GGAAUAUUGGACAAUGGGGGCAACCCUGAUCCAGCAAUGCCGCGUGAGUGAUGAAGGCCUUCGGGUUGUAAAGCUCUUUUGCCAGGGACGAUGAUGACGGUACCUGGAGAAUAAGCCCCGGCUAACUUCGUGCCAGCAGCCGCGGUAAUACGAAGGGGGCAAGCGUUGUUCGGAAUUACUGGGCGUAAAGCGUGCGCAGGCGGUUUUGUAAGCCAGAUGUGAAAGCCCCGGGCUCAACCUGGGAAUGGCAUUUGGGACUGCAAGGCUUGAGUGCGGCAGAGGAGACUGGAAUUCCUGGUGUAGCAGUGAAAUGCGUAGGUAUCAGGAGGAAUACCGAUGGCGAAGGCAGGUCUCUGGGCUGACACUGACGCUCAUGCACGAAAGCGUGGGGAGCAAAC